UGAUGGUGAUGAGGACAAUUUCUUAGCAUGCCCUAAAAUCUUUCCUAAGCUUGGUAAAGAUUUUUUCCUUAUUUUUGCAUGAAAUCCAUAAUGUCACUUCUCAAACG